AUUGCUGUGACGAGUCGUAACUCAUAAGGAAACCAACCGAUCAAUUGGUUCUCCGAUGAAAUAUUAUUUUUACGCUUGGCUUCUGAGCUCA
rfam:Triticum aestivum genome assembly, contig: Triticum_aestivum_CS42_TGACv1_scaffold_064161_1DL